rnacentral:rRNA from 1 species
UGAAGCCGGAAUUGCUAGUAAUGGCAGGUCAGCAUACUGCCGUGAAUACGUUCCCGGGCCUUGUACACACCGCCCGUCACACCAUGGGAGUCGGGAAUGCCCGAAGCCGGCGGCCUAACCGAAAGGGGGGAGCCGUCGAAGGCAGGCCCGGUGACUGGGGUGAAGUCGUAACAAGGUACC